rnacentral:rRNA from 1 species
UACGGGGGGAGCAAGCGUUGUUCGGAUUUACUGGGCGUAAAGGGCGCGUAGGCGGUCGUGACAAGUCACUUGUGAAAUCUCCGGGCUUAACUCGGAACGGUCAAGUGAUACUGUCGGACUAGAGUACAGAAGGGGCAACUGGAAUUCUCGGUGUAGCGGUGAAAUGCGUAGAUAUCGAGAGGAACACCGGCGGCGAAGGCGGGUUGCUGGGCUGAUACUGACGCUGAGGCGCGAAAGCGUGGGGAGCGAACAGG